GCAAGAUGUGAAUGUUUGAAAUUUUUUUCACACUGAAAUUAACUCUUUGGCUAUAUUUGAAGAUUUCAGUUAUGACAACAUCAGGCCUCCAAGACAGGGUAGCCACCCUUUCAAAACAGGAUGGCCACCACAGUCCCCAGGAUGCAAGUCUCACACCUGGCCUGUUUCCCUCAUUAGUUUUAAAUUGCAAAUACUGUGGGAAGAUUGUUAGUUUGGCAUGCAGGUGGCUUCUGUGUCCCCUGCAGGGAACCAGCUGGCUGCUCAACACCCAGGAUGAAACAGAGGGUCCAGAGCACUGGGAGGAUUGCCAGCCCCGCUUGCAGCAAGACAGCGGUGACAUGACCCCAACCUCUUCCUUCCUGGAGGAAGCAGAAAAGGGGCCCUGGCUGUUUGCCAGACAGUUUCUCAAGGCAGAUAAGGAGCCACAGAAAGAUGCACCGCUGCAGACAAGCUGGGUUGCUAAAUAAAGGAGCUGCUUGAUGACUGAGUCCUGCCUGUGGUUCUUAGCUUGCCAGCCUCAGUCCAAGAGCAGGCUGAGACCCCCCCACACCUGCUGGCCUUUCCUUUCCAAACAAGCGGCCUCUUAGCAACAGCCCUGACUCCCUGCAUCUGCUAGAAGCCUCAGAGGUACAAAGGAUCCUCGGAGGCAGGCAGAGUGCAGGGGCAGAGCAGAGAGGAUCCCGCAGGAGCUGGUUGUGCAGCGAGCAGGCAGGGGAAAGCGGCUGUGCUCAGCAGCAGAGCUCCAGCAGCUACGGUUGUCUCUUGGCAUCUUUGCUGGGCUGAGGGAGCCCUCUCGGCAUUCCGGCUGCAUCGAUAAAGCAGUGAGCCUUGCUCUUGGCUUCGCGAUGCACACAGGUUCCAAAUGGCCUUUGUCUUCAGCAUCACAGCCUGCAGACAGAGAUGUGCGGAUGAUGCAAGGCUCAGAGACCACACCGUCAGAGCCAACAUACCGGUCAGAAAGAGACCAACCUGAAAGUAGGAAACAAACACUUGUUGCCAACAUCCUACAUGCCCACCUCUGUGUCCAACCACAUGCCUUUCUUCUUUCUUGCAAACAGUUGACUGGGCAAAGAGAAGUAUUCCUGAGAUGCCAGGAGGAACUCCGAGAAUACAGUGAAGAAGCCUGGCUUCCUUGGCUUGCUGUACCCGGAUACACGGCUCCCAUAUGUCCCCUCAUUUCACCUGCCCUGCAACAUUCUGCAUUCUGUUGCCGUCCUCCCUACUGGACAGAUGACAAGUAACAAGAGUCAUACACAGCUCUCAUUUUGUCUGCCUCCCACCCCUCCCUCCUUUUGGUGGAGGGCUGUGUUUCCUUUCUUUGAGGCGACUUUUCUGCCUCCCCUCUCCAAUGAGCAGUCAGAGGCAGCACAGAGCUAUAAGUAAAAACAUAACUUUGGAUCAGGAUUCUCUGGACUCUGUUUCUUACAAGCUUUAUCACCUUGGUAGAGUCCCUUCAUCUCCUCCUCAGUGUUUUUGUUUUUCUCAUGCUUAGAAUAGAAAUGGUUGUCAGAGCGCCUACCCUGGGGGCUAACUCACCCAGUAGGGAUGAAAGGUGAACCAGUUCAAAGGAGUGUGUGGGAUAGCCGCCAUGUGGGAAGGGCUGUAAGCCUAGUCAGUGUUCCUCUAUGGAGGAGGCUAUCAUCACAUCUGCCCCCUUGACCGUAGCUAAUCCUCCAGAGCUGAGAAAGGUGACUUAUGGGCCUGUCCCUUACAUUUCUCUCUGUGGCCUUGGGUAGGAAAGUCAAAUGCUUACUGGUGUGAGAGGUCUAAGCUGUGACCUGCAGGAGCAUCUGCCGUGUGGCUCUGACAGAACAAAGCCACACAAAGAGACUUUGAGAGUUCCACCACAGCCAAGAGUCUCCAUUUCCAGAUGUUCCCUCAGCCCAUCCUAAAACCCCAGCCCUGUGGAAGUGCAGAACCACAGUAGUAAGAAAACAGAAUUUCAAGUCUCCAGGGUGAAAGAAAUCCUACUAAGUCCUUGCAGCAUAACAAACAUGGACCACCCAGAGAACCAUGAGCUGAUCAUCAUCAUUGAGCCAUGCUUCCUCCAUCUCGGCUCCUACCUCCAAGUUAUUACUGUCCCCUCCCCUCCCCUCCCCUCCCCUCCCUUCCUCUUCUUUUCUUGUCUAGUCUGUUUUCCUUUUUUCUCUUUCUGUCUCUGCCCAUCUCUCUGUCUCUGUCUCUGUCUCUCUCUGUCUCUCUCUGUCUCUGUGUGUGUGUGUGUGUGUGUGAGAGAGAGAGAGAGAGAGAGAGAGAGAGAGAGAGAGAGAGAGAGAGAGAGAGAAAGGUGGGUUAACAUGGCCAUUGGACCAGCUGUUUGCAACCAAUCUUAGUUUGCCGCUGCCAAUUUUCCAAUUCUGACUUUCUAUUGCAGCCAACUAACAAACAGCCCUGUUUCCAACCUUUGUAACACUCUGAAAAUAAGACAAGGCACCUCUCCUGGGUGAGGGGACUGGUGGCGUCAUGCUUGGUGUGUUUUUUUAAAAAUAUUAAUUCAUUUACUGUUAUUCAUGUAAGUGUUUUGCUUGCAUGGGUGUACGUAUGCCGUGUACGUAACGUGCCUGGGGAGGCAAGAAGUGAGCGUGGAAAGCCCUGGAACUGGAGUCACAUGGAUGGUCGUGCUGGGAACAAAACCUAGGUCCUCUGCGAGAACAACAAGUAUUCUUAACUGAGCCUUCAUCCAGUAACUGAUGGAAGCAGAUGCAGAAAUCCCCAACCAUGCACCAGGCUGAGCUCUGGGAGUCCAGUCAAAGAGAGAGAAGAGGAAUUACAUGAGCAAGGAGGGGUCAAGAUCAUGAUGGGGAAACCUACAGAGACAACUGAACCAAGCUCAAAGGAACUCACAAACUUUAGACCAACAGUUGUGAAACCUUCAUGGGACCAGACUAGACCCUCUGCAUGCAGGAGACAGUUGUGUAGCUGGGUCUGUUUGAGGGGCCCCUGGCAGUGUGAUCACAAUCUAUCCCUGGUGCAUGAGCCGGUUUUCUGGAUCCCAGUACCUAUGGUUGGACACCUUGCUCAUCCCUGAUAAGUUGGGGAGGGGCUCGGUCCUGCCUCAACUGAAUGUACCAGGCUUAGCUAUCCCCCCAUGGGAGAACUUACCCUGUUGGAGGAGGGGAUGAGGGUGGAGUAGGAGGAGGGAUGAGAGGGGCAUCUGUGGUUGGUAUGUAAAAUGAAUAAAAAAAAAUGACAGCUCUGUGAUGUGAGUGACAGCCCCAUAGACAAUAAGGGACACUAGUCUUGGAAGAGAGUCUCAGCUAUGCUAACUGGGGCAGGUCUAGUAUCUCCCAGUUCCUGUUCCCUCUAUGUGGUAUAAGUGAGGGGCUGAAAAGAUGGCUCAGUAAUUAAGAGCACUUGCGGCUUGUUCCAGUUUGCUUCCUGUUACUGUGAUAAACACCUGACCAAAAGCAACCUAAGGGGAAAAACAUCUUAUUUCAGCUCACACCUCCAAAUCACAGUCCUUCAUUGAGGCAAGUUAGGGCAGGAAUGCAAGCAGAAACUGAAUCAGAAACCAUGAAGGAAUGCUGCUUAUAGGCUUGCUCUCUGACUUGCUUAGGUAGCUUUUGAAUGUAGCCAAAACCCAUCUAAGUAGGGAUUAGGGAUGGCGCCGCCUACAAUUGACUGGGCCUUCCUACAUAAAUCAUCAGUCAAGACAGUAUCACACAGGCAUGGCCACAGGCCAGUUUUACCUGGGCCAUUCCUCAAUUUAUGCUCCCUCUUCCUGGGUGGCUCUAGGUUGUGUCAAAUUGACAAGAAAAGUCAACCAGCACACUGAUCUUCCUGAGAAACUGGGUUCAUUCCAAGCACUCAUAUUGGGCAGUUCACAACCACCAGUAACUCAAACUUCAGGGUUUCUAACACCCUCUUCUGGCCUUCAUGGGCACCCAAAUUUAUGUGCACAUAGAGACAUAUACAGACACACAUAUGCAUAAACAAAAAUAAAAUUUUCAAUUUUUAAGAAGAAAUAUAAGUAACUAAAACUCUUCUAAUUGUCAGACUUGGGUACAUAGAAACAGGAUUUGUACCAGAUUUACUCAUAACUGCUAAAAACUUAGAAACAGCUGGGAUGUCCUACAGUAGGUUGAAUGGAUAAAGAGAGUGAUCUAUCCAGACAGCAGAAUAUUUAUUCAGCACUAAAACAGAAAUAAGUUCUCAAGCCAUGAAAAACCAUGGAGGAGACUUAAAUGCAUAUUAUGAAGUAAAGAAGCCAAUCUAAAAGAGUUGCAUACUACAUGAUGCCAAUCCUCUGGCCUUCUGGAAAAAGUAGAGCUAUCCCUAGGUGUAGCAGGAAUCUUAACAGGUCUUAUUAAUAAAAACAAACCUGAAUCCAGGUAUUGGGGUGAAUGCUGGAAGAUCAGAGAAGCAGAACAAGCCACAGCUACCUCAUCUUGCCAAUUCCUCAGCUGAUCCUGUUUCCUCAGACCAGAAGCCUCUGUGUCCUCAUCCAAAUGGAUCUCAGCUGAACUGCUGCUCAAAAGCCUGAAAGCUUAAACAGCUCUAGUUCCUGGUCCUCACACCUUAAAUACCUUUCUGCUUUCUGCCCUCACUUCCUGGGAUUAAAGACUCACUUUCUGGGAUUAAAGGCAUGUGUUACCAUGCCUGGCUGUUUCCAAUGUGGCCUUGAACUCACAGAGAUCCAGACGAAUUUCUGCCUCUGGAAUGCUAGGAUUAAAGGUGUGAGUGCCACCAUUUUCUAGCCUCUGUAUCUAGUGGCUGUUCUGUUCUCUGACCCCAGAUAAGUUUAUUAGGGUGCACAAUAUUUUGGGGAACAAAAUACCACCACACCUAGGGUUGUGUCAGAGGCAAGAUAAAAGACAAAACACAGGGGACUGAGUGGGCAGUGAGACUAUUUCACUUUUAAAUGGGCAAUACCUAUCAUCAUACAUUUGUCCAAACCCAUUGGAUGUAUGGCACCAAGAGUAAACCCUAAUGUCAGCUGUGGGUCUGGGUGGUUGGAAUGUUUCCAUGCAAGUCCAUUGGUCAUAAUGUAUAAUAAAUGGGCCACUCUAUCUAAUUUAAUUUUUUUCUUAAAAUCUAACUUGGGGUUAGAGAGAUAGUUCCAUCAGUAAAGUGCUUGUUAUACUCGUGAUUUUUAUUUGUUUUAUGCAUUGAUAAGGCUAUUCUCUCACCCUCCCUUUAGAAAGCAUUUUUCUGGAACUCACUUAAUCCUGGUCUGAAAAUAAAAUGUCUUUCUUGGCCCACUGUACAACCAUUGUCCUGGAAUUUUUUUCUUUUGGAUUUGGUGGUUAGUUUGUGUUGUUUCUUACAUCUCAUUGUAUCCUUUCCUUUGUUUUUCUUUUGUGUGUGUGUCCAUUUUCUGGAAUAUAGUCUUAAGUAAUUCUUCAGAAAUGGUGCCUGGGAGACAGGAUUUUUCACUGUUUGAAUACUUAAAAUUGCUUUUAUUUACCUUCUAUAUUGACUAAUAGUUUGGUUAAGUAUAAAACUUGAAGAUAAACAUCAGUUUUCCCCCAGAAACAUUUAUAACUUUGUUUAUUACCUUUGAGCAUCUGUUUUCACGUGUGUAAAAUGUGUUCCAGUUCUCAUUUUUAAACGUGAUUCCAUUCAAUGCUUGCAACUUUUACACCAUUUCUUUCUGUAGACUCAACUGAAAAGUCACAGUCAUGUUUCUGUAGAGAUUUUAUUGUUGUUAUUGUUCAUUUUGCUCAUAUAAGGUGAGUCUCUUGAUUAUA